GUGGAAGCGUCUGGAAAGGCGCGCGAUACAGGGUGACAGCCCCGUACACAAAAAUGCACAUAUUGUGAGCUCGAUGAGUAGGGCGGGACACGUGGUAUCCUGUCUGAAUAUGGGGGGACCAUCCUCCAAGGCUAAAUACUCCUGACUGACCGAUAGUGAACCAGUACCGUGAGGGAAAGGCGAAAAGAACCCCGGCGAGGGGAGUGAAAAAGAACCUGAAACCGUGUACGUACAAGCAGUGGGAGCACGCUUAGGCGUGUGACUGCGUACCUUUUGUAUAAUGGGUCAGCGACUUAUAUUCUGUAGCAAGGUUAACCGAAUAGGGGAGCCGAAGGGAAACCGAGUCUUAACUGGGCGUUAAGUUGCAGGGUAUAGACCCGAAACCCGGUGAUCUAGCCAUGGGCAGGUUGAAGGUUGGGUAACACUAACUGGAGGACCGAACCGACUAAUGUUGAAAAAUUAGCGGAUGACUUGUGGCUGGGGGUGAAAGGCCAAUCAAACCGGGAGAUAGCUGGUUCUCCCCGAAAGCUAUUUAGGUAGCGCCUCGUGAAUUCAUCUCCGGGGGUAGAGCACUGUUUCGGCAAGGGGGUCAUCCCGACUUACCAACCCGAUGCAAACUGCGAAUACCGGAGAAUGUUAUCACGGGAGACACACGGCGGGUGCUAACGUCCGUCGUGAAGAGGGAAACAACCCAGACCGCCAGCUAAGGUCCCAAAGUCAUGGUUAAGUGGGAAACGAUGUGGGAAGGCCCAGACAGCCAGGAUGUUGGCUUAGAAGCAGCCAUCAUUUAAAGAAAGCGUAAUAGCUCACUGGUCGAGUCGGCCUGCGCGGAAGAUGUAACGGGGCUAAACCAUG
rnacentral:rRNA from 1 species